UUGACAAUUAAAAAUGAUAACGAUUAUCAUUAAUUCACCAAAUGACAACGGUCGUAUCAUUUGGUCUCUCUCAUCAGGAGCUAAAAGCUCUUUUAACAGCCUCACCUUUUGGUGGGGCUUUUUUUU
rnacentral:sRNA from 1 species